UACGUAGGGUGCAAGCGUUGUCCGGAAUUAUUGGGCGUAAAGAGCUCGUAGGCGGUUUGUCGCGUCGAAUGUGAAAACCCGGGGCUCAACCCCCGGGCCUGCAUUCGAUACGGGCAGACUAGAGUUCGGUAGGGGAGUCUGGAAUUCCUGGUGUAGCGGUGAAAUGCGCAGAUAUCAGGAGGAACACCGGUGGCGAAGGCGGGACUCUGGGCCGAUACUGACGCUGAGGAGCGAAAGUGUGGGGAGCGAACAGG
rnacentral:rRNA from 1 species